ACUGCGCUGCGCCCCUUACCCCUUACAUACAGUCCUGUGAACUUCACCGCGGAAAAACUCACGGGCUCCACAGACGAGACCCAGGUUUGGCGAGUUUAACUUUCCCUCCCUUCCCCCAACUCGCGUUCCCUUCCAAGAACAAACGCAAAGGAAAUUGGCAACGCUCCGUCUAGGGUUUCACUCCUGCCCUCGGCUGACACUUAAACCACUUCUCCCAGGGAAGUUAAUUAAAAGCACAAUUAAUCCGCACAAAAAUCCAAAACAUACCCCAAAGCUCAAGAGCUCCUGAAGUUAGAAGACUGAGGGCUCCUCUGCUGAUUGUGACCUUCUGCCCGUCACUGGGUCUCAGGGGGUAGGCAGGGGAUACGACAGGGAAGAGGCAUAAGGUCUGACGCCAUCCACCUUCUCCGCGUCUAUGCUUACCGCCACCAGUGAGGACGGGCUUGGUUGGAGACAGCCAGGUAUGCAGCUCUCAAGCCUACUUCCGGAAUGCACACUGAAGUUAUAUCCACAACGGAUCCUCCACAAGGGAUAUCACAGCGUGGCUCUAAUGCCCAGUCAUGAAGUCUGGAGGUUGACGGUUCUACACGUGGUCUAAGCAGCUCCAGGACAUUAAGGCACGGGUCAGAGUCUCUGAGACAGAGUUACCAGCUGGCUGCUACAACUAAAGACAUUCAUUUGCUCAUAUAGUUUGUGAACUGCCUAGCUGACCAGGAUGCAGUAGAGGUACCCAGAGGAUGCAGCUCAGCUGAUGUCAAACCAUUCCAGCUAGCACGCUUGGAGGCAGAAGAACUAUGCCCUCGAUCCUGUCUUUGCUGCCCUUGCCCCAACAGCCACAGCUUUCUGAGAAGAUUGGCCCCAGAAUUCUCAGGAGUUGGAGGGAAAAGUCCUAAAUUAAACACCUAGAAAUCCUUAGGCAAGCAAAACUAACCAUUUUGAUGGAAAUAGGGUAGUGAUGAUCCAGAAAAGCAACAGGGAGGCAGGGAAAAGGAAGCAUAAAGAACUGAGCAAGGAGAAAUCAAAGAAAGAGAGGUACAAAGAGGACUGGGUAAUUUAGUUUUCAGUGAUGGCUCAAUCUGCCUGAUAAACUCAAGAAAUUCUCCUUAAGCUCAGAGGAAAAGGACAAAAGAAAUUGUGAGAGAUAAAAGUUGAGACAGAGAAAGACAAAGCCAAGAUACUAAAAAUCUUUUCAUAACGUGCCCAGAAAGGGAGCAUAGAGCUGAUAGAGGAGAAACUGUUCUUGUACCCUACAUCGGAGGAGUCGGUGACGCCAGGAGGGGUUAUACAUCCCAUAGGUCUAUAAGGUGAAGGGGACUUUGUCUAAAGGGCCUAUGAAAAGUACAAGGACAGACUUCCAUUCUGUGACAGAUAUUUAAACCCUCACAUUGAACUUCUCAUCCUGCCUUUCUUCCAAACUCCCAUUGAAACAGCCAAAGGAAAAUAAUGAUAGGGGAAAAUCUGUCAUUCUUCAAAACUGAAGAAAGAUUACACCCACAUACCAGACAUUUCAAGGAAUUUCUGUGAGACUUAAUGCAGAUGAAACCAGUUUGAGAGAAGGGUUUGACAACCUUCAAUUCCCCUCACAGAAAAGAACUGCCUCUCCAGGGAGGGACCCCCACCAGGACCCAGUGAUGCUCCCAGAGUUGGUGGUGACAAGGGCUGUGGGCAAAAAUUAAUCCCAGAAAAGUCAGGAGGGGCAAAUCUCCUUCAUCCUGAAGCAUGCAGGAAUGCCCAGGUAUGGGGGUGCACACAGGACAAGGGUCCCACUGGGGGCUCACAUUUGAUGCCUGGCACAGACAGAACAUUGCCAAGGAGCUAGCUUGAUGUGGUUACAUGCAGGGAAAAGAAACUCUUUAAUAUGAAGGCGAAACUGCUCUUUUGAGAGUCUCCACAGACAACUGGCUCUUAAUUGUUUUCUUUCAUCCAUUCAUUCAUGACAAGCCUGCUAUGUUCCAGGCACUGAGUUAGGCACUAGGGAUUCAACAAUGGACAAGUAGAGUGUUCUCUGUUUUGUGAAGUCACUCAAAAGAAUUCAGCUUACCUCAGAAAGAAAAAAAAAAUCAUCUUUACAUUUGCUACAUAAAUGCCAAAGACCACAAAG